rnacentral:misc_RNA from 1 species
GAAUAUUACACUACAUCUGACUGGGAAAAACAUUCCAUAGAAAUGAUUGCUUUCAGCUCUUCAUUAGAGAGUGCUAGAAAAAAAGCUGUUGAUUCUGAAUAUUACACUACAUCUGACGAAAGCUCAAAUAAAGGACGUGGAAAGAGAAUAAAAAGGCCAAAAAAUUUUAGCAGUUCUUCGGAUGAGGAAAAUGAAGUUCACACACCACCACCUGCUCUGAAAAAAACACCAAGCAUAGAAACCUACCCAUUGAUUCACCGAACAAGUGUUCAUACACCACCACCUGUUCCGAAAAUAAUACCAAGUAGAGAAAAUUACUCCUCGUCGAAACAAACAAGCGGUAAGAGAUGAAAUUUCUGUUUUUCUAAUCCAAAAAAAACUCAAUCAUUCCAUUGGAUGUUUUUACUUGAAUUUCCCCGACUCAAGAAUCUCUAUUGCAAGUCAACUGAAAUUGAGAAGGCAGGCUGGACAAGAUAAUAGUCAACAUUCAGACCAUGAAAGUUCGAAUUCAGAACAUUUUAUAUCAAGCGAUACUACCCAAAAUUCUGGUGAGGAUAAUGAGGAUAUAACUUUGAUAUCAAAAAAAAAUAUUUCGCAGACAGAAGAAAUUUCAAGAAUGAGUGGUAAGUAGGUUGAGAAAUUUCUUUGUGGUAUUGUAUUCAAAUGAAACCAUGUGUUUUUUUAUGAUAUAUAAAAAUGAAAAUGUUUCAGAAAAUAUUAAGAGAAUACUGAGUAUUUGCAAAGGCACUCUGCUGGAAGUCAGAUCCAUCAGUGAAAGAUUGAGCAAAAUAGAAUUAACUGAGAAUGCACCAAAAGUCGAUGUUUCAGGCAUGGA